AUUGAACGCUGGCGGCAGGCCUCACACAUGCAAGUCGAGCGGAGCGGCGGACGGGUGAGUAAUGCCUAGGAAUCUGCCUGGUAGUGGGGGAUAACGUCCGGAAACGGGCGCUAAUACCGCAUACUAUCAGAUGAGCCUAGUUCGGAUUAGCUAGUUGGUGGGGUAAAGGCCUACCAAGGCGACGAUCCGUAACUGGUCUGAGAGGAUGAUCAGUCACAAUGGAACGUAGACAGGGUCCAGACUCCUACGGGAGGCAGCAGUGGCGAAUAUUUGAAAAUGGGCGAAAGCCUGAUCCAGCCCUGCCGCGGGUGUGAAGAAGGUCUUCGGAUUAUAAAGCACUUUAAGUUGGGAGGCGUUACCAACAGAAUAAGCACCGGCUAACUUCGUGCCAGCAGCCGCGGUAAUAC
rnacentral:rRNA from 1 species